UGGAUGGAAUCCCAGCUUCUCAGACAGGACAGAUAUUUUCCAGGAAUGAUGCAGUCAAUGGGUUCGCUUGCAUCAAUGCCCAGCAAGGAAAAAGAGGUGUCUGCCACGACUAUAAGGUCCGGUUCACCUGCCCAGACUCUUUCUGUUCAGGAAAUGACCAGAAAGGUGUAAAGGAGGAAUCCCCAUGAGCAGUCAGCUGCAGUCUUCAGCUUCUACCCAUCUCUGGAAGAAGGUGGCGUCUUCUCAUUCAUCCUUGCUGCCGGCCUAUAGCUCAUACUUAAUGCAAUAAAGUCUCAAACGCAACCCCCAA